rnacentral:rRNA from 1 species
GGAUCCAGACUUUGAUCAUGGCUCAGGAUGAACGCUGGCGGCGCAUUUAAGACAUGCAAGUCUAACGAAAAUUUACGCUUAAAGAGUUGAUUAGUUUACUAAGAGAUGAUUUAUUGUAAAUUUUAGUGGCGGACUGGUGAGUAAUACAUAGGUAAUCUGCCUUUUAGAGGGGAAUAACUAGGAGAAAUCCUAGCUAAUACCGCGUAAGACCACACUUAGGCAUCUAAGAGAGGUCAAAGGAGUAAUCCGCUAAAAGAUGAGCCUGUGGCUGAUUAGUUAGUUGGUGGGGUAAGAGCCUACCAAGACGAUGAUCAGUAGCCGAGCUGAGAGGCUGGCCGGCCACAUUGGGACUGAGAUACGGCCCAGACUCCUACGGGAGGCAGCAGUUGGGAAUAUUGGACAAUGGAGGAAACUCUGAUCCAGUGACGCCGCGUGAAGGAAGAAGGUCUUCGGAUUGUAAACUUAUUUUAUCAGGGAAGAAGAAAGUGACAGUACCUGAAGAAAAAGGACCGGCAAACUACGUGCCAGCAGCCGCGGUAAUACGUAGGGUCCAAGCGUUAUCCGGAUUUACUGGGUGUAAAGGGCGAGUAGACGGCGCUGUAAGUCAGCUGUGAAAACUUAGGGCUCAACCUUAAGCCUGCAGCUGAAACUGUAGUGCUAGAGUGCAGGAGAGGUAAGCGGAAUUCCUAGUGUAGCGGUGAAAUGCGUAGAUAUUAGGAGGAACACCAGUGGCGAAGGCGGCUUACUGGACUGUAACUGACGUUGAGGCGCGAAAGUGUGGGGAGCAAACAGGAUUAGAUACCCUGGUAGUCCACACCGUAAACGAUGGAUACUAGGUGUAGGCGAGAUAUCGUCUGUGCCGGCGCAAACGCAAUAAGUAUCCCACCUGGGGAGUACGGCCGCAAGGUUGCAACUCAAAUGAAUUGACGG